UACGGAGGGUGCAAGCGUUAAUCGGAAUUACUGGGCGUAAAGAGCACGUAGGCGGUUUGAUAAGUUAGAUGUGAAAUCCCCGGGCUUAACUUGGGAGCUGCAUUUAAAACUGUCUGGCUAGAGUUCGGUAGAGGGGGGUGGAAUUUCCGGUGUAGCGGUGAAAUGCGUAGAGAUCGGAAGGAACAUCAGUGGCGAAGGCGGCCCCCUGGACUAGGACUGACGCUGAGGUGCAAAAGCGUGGGGAGCGAACAGG
rnacentral:rRNA from 1 species